rnacentral:lncRNA from 1 species
AAGUUUAAAAAUCGGAGAAAAACACAAGAAAUAUGUUUUAAAAGAAGUUCCGUGCCAAGUACGUACGCUUUUAGCUUGUACAGUGUUUGGUAGUUUAAAUAUAAUGUUUUAGGUUGUUAAAAGGUAUAUUAUAUGUAACAUAAAUAUGUACUGUUCUUAUGAAUUUCAUGAUACAGAAUUUUUAAUUAAUUUUACUUAGCUGCCCUAAAACAUGCAUAUCAGGUAUGUACAUUACUACAUUACAAACUAUUCACAACAAUCUGUUUCCAUAUUAAUAACGCCCUGGGCUAACUGCAAACCAGGAAACAGUGUUCCCUAGCCAAUGGCAAUUUUUCUCAAAGGUGAACAAAUCUGGAAAUAUCACAAUUAAUGAGGAAAUAUUGUUUCCUAGCCCAGCUAGCCAUGUUUCCCAGAGAUAGACAAACUGUAAGACAUUGUCUCAGUGACAAAAACACACUUGAGAAAAAACAUGUUCAUAAAUUUGUUGGGGAUCAUUUUUGCUUCCUUAAAUAUUGGUCAUGCAACAGUAUUUUCAAUGGUUGGCAAACAUUGAAACAUUUGAAGAAACGUCUUCCUUUUCUCUUCCUUGCUUCACUAGCAAUGGCUGCAGUUGAGAGAAGCCAUAUUGGUUUCCGCGGACCAUCAUCGAUCCCCCUUGGCAAACACCACGACACUGACCCUUCUCAACAUAUGAACCAACUCCAAUUCAAUCUCCAUGCCCCUUACUCCAUCCACUCCUUGGAAACAAAUUUCCAAAAACCUCAACCUUUGGUCAUAGAGAAGUUUCCUGUUCUCCCACUGAGUGGGCCAACCAAGCACCCUGUGGUACACCAUGAUGCACCAAUACCCUCGUCCCCAGCCUCCUCCGUGUCGAGCGAACGCUUGCAUUUUGCUGUGCAGCUUGCUAAGAUUGAUGCCAAGAAAUUAUGGAGGAAACAGAAGGAGUUGCAAGAAUCAGAGGAAGAAGGGAGGGAAGAAGUCAAGCAGGAUGAUUUAAGAAAAAUGAAGGCAACUCAAGUGAAAGGUGCAAGGAAGUUAAUUCAAGAUGCAAAGAGACCUAAUGUUGGUUAUGUUCAAUAUAAA